CUGAACCAGCCAAGUAGCGUGAAGGAUGACUGCCCUAUGGGUUGUAAACUUCUUUUAUAUGGGAAUAAAGUGAGCCACGUGUGGCUUUUUGUAUGUACCAUACGAAUAAGGAUCGGCUAACUCCGUGCCAGCAGCCGCGGUAAUACGGAGGAUCCGAGCGUUAUCCGGAUUUAUUGGGUUUAAAGGGAGCGUAGAUGGAUGUUUAAGUCAGUUGUGAAAGUUUGCGG
rnacentral:rRNA from 1 species